rnacentral:rRNA from 1 species
UACGAAGGGUGCAAGCGUUAAUCGGAAUUACUGGGCGUAAAGCGUGCGCAGGCGGUUUUGUAAGUCUGUCGUGAAAUCCCCGGGCUCAACCUGGGAAUUGCGAUGGAGACUGCAAGGCUAGAAUCUGGCAGAGGACGGCAGAAUUCCCGGUGUAGCGGUGAAAUGCGUAGAGAUCGGGAGGAAUACCGAUGGCGAAAGCAACCGUCUGGGCCUGAACUGACACUGAGACACGAAAGCGUGGGGAGCAAACAGG